rnacentral:sRNA from 1 species
AACUUAAACCGCAACCCUAUCUUAAAAGCCUAAGUAGUGUUUCCUUGUUAAAAGACACAAAGCCAAAGACUCAUAUGGACUUUGGCUACACCGUGAAAGCUUUGAGAAGCAACAAGAAGGUUGGUUAGUGUUUUAGAGUGAAUAUGACUUGAUGUCAUGUGUAUGAUUGAGUAUAAGAACUUAAACUGCAACCCGAUCUUAAAUGCCUAAGUAGUGUUUCCUUGUUAGAAGACACAAAGCCAAAGACUCAUAUGGACUUUGGUUACACCAUGAAAGCUUUGAGAAGCAAGAAGAAGGUUGGUUAGUGUUUUGGAGUCAAAUAUGACUUGUUGUCAUGUGUAAGAU